rnacentral:rRNA from 1 species
CAGUACCGUGAGGGAAAGGCGAAAAGAACCCCGGCGAGGGGAGUGAAAAAGAACCUGAAACCGUGUACGUACAAGCAGUGGGAGCCUCUUUAUGGGGUGACUGCGUACCUUUUGUAUAAUGGGUCAGCGACUUAUAUUCUGUAGCAAGGUUAACCGAAUAGGGGAGCCGAAGGGAAACCGAGUCUUAACUGGGCGUUAAGUUGCAGGGUAUAGACCCGAAACCCGGUGAUCUAGCCAUGGGCAGGUUGAAGGUUGGGUAACACUAACUGGAGGACCGAACCGACUAAUGUUGAAAAAUUAGCGGAUGACUUGUGGCUGGGGGUGAAAGGCCAAUCAAACCGGGAGAUAGCUGGUUCUCCCCGAAAGCUAUUUAGGUAGCGCCUCGUGAAUUCAUCUCCGGGGGUAGAGCACUGUUUCGGCAAGGGGGUCAUCCCGACUUACCAACCCGAUGCAAACUGCGAAUACCGGAGAAUGUUAUCACGGGAGACACACGGCGGGUGCUAACGUCCGUCGUGAAGAGGGAAACAACCCAGACCGCCAGCUAAGGUCCCAAAGUCAUGGUUAAGUGGGAAACGAUGUGGGAAGGCCCAGACAGCCAGGAUGUUGGCUUAGAAGCAGCCAUCAUUUAAAGAAAGCGUAAUAGCUCACUGGUCGAGUCGGCCUGCGCGGAAGAUGUAACGGGGCUAAACCAUGCACCGAAGCUGCGGCAGCGACACUAUGUGUUGUUGGGUAGGGGAGCGUUCUGUAAGCCUGUGAAGGUGUACUGUGAGGUAUGCUGGAGGUAUCAGAAGUGCGAAUGCUGACAUAAGUAACGAUAAAGCGGGUGAAAAGCCCGCUCGCCGGAAGACCAAGGGUUCCUGUCCAACGUUAAUCGGGGCAGGGUGAGUCGACCCCUAAGGCGAGGCCGAAAGGCGUAGUCGAUGGGAAACAGGUUAAUAUUCCUGUACUUGGUGUUACUGCGAAGGGGGGACGGAGAAGGCUAUGUUGGCCGGGCGACGGUUGUCCCGGUUUAAGCGUGUAGGCUGAUUUUCCAGGCAAAUCCGGAAAAUCAAGGCUGAGGCGUGAUGACGAGGCACUACGGUGCUGAAGCAACAAAUGCCCUGCUUCCAGGAAAAGCCUCUAAGCAUCAGGUAACAUCAAAUCGUACCCCAAACCGACACAGGUGGUCAGGUAGAGAAUACCAAGGCGCUUGAGAGAACUCGGGUGAAGGAACUAGGCAAAAUGGUGCCGUAACUUCGGGAGAAGGCACGCUGAUAUGUAGGUGAAGCGACUUGCUCGUGGAGCUGAAAUCAGUCGAAGAUACCAGCUGGCUGCAACUGUUUAUUAAAAACACAGCACUGUGCAAACACGAAAGUGGACGUAUACGGUGUGACGCCUGCCCGGUGCCGGAAGGUUAAUUGAUGGGGUUAGCGGUAACGCGAAGCUCUUGAUCGAAGCCCCGGUAAACGGCGGCCGUAACUAUAACGGUCCUAAGGUAGCGAAAUUCCUUGUCGGGUAAGUUCCGACCUGCACGAAUGGCGUAAUGAUGGCCAGGCUGUCUCCACCCGAGACUCAGUGAAAUUGAACUCGCUGUGAAGAUGCAGUGUACCCGCGGCAAGACGGAAAGACCCCGUGAACCUUUACUAUAGCUUGACACUGAACAUUGAGCCUUGAUGUGUAGGAUAGGUGGGAGGCUUUGAAGUGUGGACGCCAGUCUGCAUGGAGCCGGCCUUGAAAUACCACCCUUUAAUGUUUGAUGUUCUAACGUUGGCCCCUGAUCGGGGUUGCGGACAGUGUCUGGUGGGUAGUUUGACUGGGGCGGUCUCCUCCUAAAGAGUAACGGAGGAGCACGAAGGUUGGCUAAUCCUGGUCGGACAUCAGGAGGUUAGUGCAAUGGCAUAAGCCAGCUUGACUGCGAGCGUGACGGCGCGAGCAGGUGCGAAAGCAGGUCAUAGUGAUCCGGUGGUUCUGAAUGGAAGGGCCAUCGCUCAACGGAUAAAAGGUACUCCGGGGAUAACAGGCUGAUACCGCCCAAGAGUUCAUAUCGACGGCGGUGUUUGGCACCUCGAUGUCGGCUCAUCACAUCCUGGGGCUGAAGUAGGUCCCAAGGGUAUGGCUGUUCGCCAUUUAAAGUGGUACGCGAGCUGGGUUUAGAACGUCGUGAGACAGUUCGGUCCCUAUCUGCCGUGGGCGCUGGAGAACUGAGGGGGGCUGCUCCUAGUACGAGAGGACCGGAGUGGACGCAUCACUGGUG